GAGAGAUGUAUGCGUUAGAAAGAGGAAAAAUGUGUACAAGUUGUACAUACAAGUUAUCACUGUUUCCAGAGUCCUCAAACCCUCUCCUGAUGCCCCGGCCGUCGCAUCCCUCCCGUGAACUCCAAACAUCACACAGGCAGGCAAACAAUGGACACACCCAGCUGCCUCCCAAACUCAUUCAUCCGUUGUUCACUUCAAAUUGAUGAUUCAGUCACUUCAACCAUCGUCAAACUCGCCUGCGUUUGCCGUCGAACGGAGUUACGGAGUGUCUUCCUGUAGAAUCGGUAGCUGAUAUAUGGAAUCCAAAAGCCUCUGCAAUCCACCGAACAAAUGUUGGAAUGCGGUAUUUAAUGCACAUGCUGAGGUAUUCCUUCAAAAUGCAUAGUGGCAGAGGCUAUUUGCCAAAAAUAAUCAAAGGUAAAUUUGUUGACCUCAGAAACUGAGACAAAUCAAAUGUCAAAAUUAUGUGAUGGGGUAAACAAACCCAUGGCCACCAAUAUAGAUAUCCACAUAGCUGUAUGCUGAGGGAAAAUGCAGAGGGAAAGAAAAGCUUUACCACGAUGGGGAUCUUAUUCAGUACUUUUACAAACUUUUACCUGGAGAUGUGCUUAUUUUACUAGCUGAUCUAUUGUGGGCUGAACUCAUCAUAGAUUAGAAUGGUACUUCUGUGAAACAAACAAGGAAAAGGAAAAAGUAAUCGACAUUUGAUGGUAUUCCUGUGACUAGAAGAACAUGAUUCUCACCAAUAUAUAGACAUGAAACAUUCUUAGGUGUUCCAUUUACUUUUUAAGAAGUGAUUGUGUUCUUUUUCAUCUGGAGACUGGAAUUCCUCAGAAAAUCUCUUUUGUACUCUUCUUGUUUGUUAAUUUUACAGUGUCCAUAUUUGUAACCGAAAGUAGGGUUCUUGUGAUGCCAUCAUGCCACCAUCAAGAAUGGCCAGCACAUGAGCAUGUGGUACAGGAUGUGGCGUGCAUUAUCGUGUCAACUCCAUCUAGUAGAGGUGCAACUCAUUGUUCCAUUACGAACUUGGAACUUGAGUAGAUCGUUCACGCAAAAGCUGAGGUAUAUCCAACAAUUUCUCUAUUACUGUUUUGGAGCAAAAGAUUUGAGCUUGAAUAUGUUUCUUGAAAAUGGUAAAAUUGUCCAUUUAUAUGCAAAGCUCCAAAUACAUAGCCACAAACACCCCCGCGUUGACUUUUUGUACCAACUCACCUUCCAGUGGUCUGUAUCAGAUGACAAAUGGAUUUGUCUGAGAGAAUCAGAUGAUCAAGCUAGCCGCUCUCACUGACCUGGCGUAUGUGGAGUUACAAUUAGGCAAUCCUCUCAAAGUCCUUUCAACAGCGAACUCUCUCGUAGAACUUCCCGUAUGUUCCAGAACAUAUGUAUUUCUCGGAAACAUGUAUGCAGCUAAGACACUCUGCCUACUAACCAGCCAAAGGAAGAUGCCGAGCCCUUGUUAGUCUAUUUAUCCAACAGGAGACACGUUGAAUCGCGUAUAGUGAAGAGGGCUAUGAAAAAAUUCUAGAGGAGAAACUUGCAGAUUUUGAAAAAGUCAAAUGGUGGACCAUUGGCAGCCCAAAACCUACCCCAAACCAAAUCACAAGAUUUUGUUCCUCAAACCCGAAGAGGCACGUGGGGCACUUAACUCAAACUUAGCUGCUUUUUUCUGCAGUGAAGGGUGAUCUUGAUCAGGCUCACCGGUUUUGGAUUCAAGCUUUGUCCUCAAUACCUAAUAGUCCAGAAGCAGUGUUUCCAGCAAUUUACGUAAAUAUAAUGGUUGGUAAGAAAAAAGUUCUCUCCAAGUUGAAAGAUUGUAGUCAAUUUAGAUUCAUCUCCGGUAGUUUACCGGUAUAAGGCUUUUGUGAUUGUUGUGUUAGUAGCUUUUAGUUGGUCGUGUCGCAAUUUUAGGAGGUAGGUAAGUUCCGUUCUCUCAGGAUUUGUAACAUAUAUGUAUUUUCAACCUAGGAAUCACCAUUUAAAAAUUUCCAGACCGAGAAAUUAUUGGAAGGAACAAAAACCAUCAAAGGUAAUGCAACCCUAGGCUAACGAAGGGAAUGGCAAGGUGUCUCGUAUGAAAGGAUUGUCAAAGAGUGUAAAAGUACUCGUGGAAUACCUAUACGGGACCACACAUUGAGAUACAAUGCACUCAUUUUGCUAAUUGCUCAAUUCCUUUGCAAUAAAAUGGGCUUAGGUAUAGUAUAUUUUCUUGCUUCCUGCAGGUAACCAUUGUUGAACUGUCAGAUCGACUAGAAUAACAAUACAAUGCUAUUAUGAAGACCUGCUCAACAAAAUUUUUUUUCCAAUAGUUAGAUGAUUAUUUCGAAUGUAAUCUUUAUUCUUAAUGUGUUUGCACUUCUACAUUCAUUUAUUUGGUUCACUUAUAACAUAAUGAUUUAUUUCACAAGGACACCCUUGACCGCCUUAUUUGUAAGUUGUGAAUAUUGGAUCAAAUUAAAGUACCAUGGCCUUUCGCUUGAAGGGUGGGAUUCAGUCUUGCAGAAAAUAUAGUUUCCCUAGGAGACAAUAAUGGUAUAAAUUUUGCCAACAAAAUUGUAACAAAGUCAUUACUACAUCUUAAUAUUGAUGACUCUGAUCUUAUUGAGACACCCAGCUCCAAACAAAUUUACAAUCCCUAACAGCUGGGCAAACACAACAUACCCGACACCACUAGUUAGAGAUAAAUGGUUUGAAAGCUGCAGAAACAAAUUGGAGUGAAACUGAUUCGAUAUUCCAUUCCUAAGUCGUUACCUCCCUAAAUAUUCCAGAAGUGAGAACAUCAAAGAACAAGGGUUCUAUAGUUUCGAAUCAAUGUUGGCAGACACCCUGGAUAUGCAUUAUCCGAAUGAACUCAAGGACUGAUUUUCUGAAGAAAUCUAGGAACUUUAUGUUGGAGUUUUAAAUCUGGAAUGCACUUUCAAAUUGCACUCCACUAUCACUAUGUGACAUUUCGUUUUAAGAGCCUCAAGAAAGGCUGACUUAGAAGUAUUUUGAAGCUAAUUUUGGUUCAAAGAGCCAAAUGGCAACUAGGAGGGAAGUUCUGUCAUGUUUGUUCCAGAAACUGCUGGUAGGCCAGCGUUUACAGCACAACUAUACUGCCAACUCUUCUCAUGCAGUUAGAUGACAGGUUGCAUUAUUUUCUGGCCCCGAUUGAAUGGAUCUUCGUAUGUUAGCCUAAACACACUGCUCUUUUGGUAAGUGCCUCUAUAAUGUGCUUAAGAAUGUAGGAAACUAAGGUGUGACAAUUAAAGUUGAGUUGGCUAAUUCUCCUGCUCGAUCUAAUCGUUAAUCUUUGAUGUUUUAUUUGCAAGCUUAGAAGGUUAUAGUAAUGAAGGGAAGUCCAUCGGUUAGGUGUUUGCCGCUCCAUCUGGAGAUUUUAGUCUGUCUAAUGCUUGCCCGACUGAGUCAAGCAGGCAAUCACCGAGUUCACGUCAGUGAUAAUCAAAACUCUUAGGCUUACAGGAGUUAGCCAUUAUGCAGUCAACUUGCACAAAAAGAUUCGUCCCUCAGCCUUGUAAAAUUCUAUGCACAUUUCUGAUAAUCUCAUUCAAGAAUUCAUGUUUCGGUCUGUAUGCAAAGUAUUCUUCUGCUCAAGAAGGACAACCAUGACUGAUCGUCUCACAGGUCAAAAAAUGAAGCUUCAAGGUUCAGGAUUGAAUAAGACCUGCAGAUCCAGAAUUGGAAGACCCGGAUGCUGUAAAACUUACUCAAAGGGUGUCAUCUACAAGAAACUGAAGGUGCCUUCUUUCAUUCUCUUCAUUCUGAUUGCUACAUUUUAUAGCACACAGUAAGAAUAACGAAUGUAUUAUGAUAAAUUUGCAUAUUUUAGUGUUAACUUUUGGUGUUUUAAAUCUCUAGUCUACAAGAAAAUUAUUCUCCACUACGUGACAUUUCAUGUGAUGAUCAUAAAAAGAGACAUACAAAGAUGUAUGUUUUUUGUUAAUCGAAUCCAGAUUAUUAACAA